rfam:Glossina pallidipes unplaced genomic scaffold Scaffold84, whole genome shotgun sequence.
UAAUCGGUCCUUUUCAGGACCACAAUAUUCUUAAUAAAAAAGAUAU